rnacentral:rRNA from 1 species
AUUGAACGCUGGCGGCAGGCUUAACACAUGCAAGUCGAGCGGAGCGGCAGACGGGUGAGUAAUGCCUAGGAAUCUGCAUGGUAGUGGGGGAUAACGUUCGGUAACGGGCGCUAAUACCGCAUACUAUCAGAUGAGCCUAGGCCGGAUUAGAUUGUGGGUGGGGGAAAGGCCUACCAAGGCGACGAUCCGUAACUGGUCUGGGAGGAAGAUGAGCCACACUGGAACUGAGACACGGUCCAGACUCCUACGGGAGGCAGCAGUGGGGAAUAUUGGACAAUGGGCGCAAGCCUGAUCCAGCCAUGCCGCGUGUGUGAAGAAGGUCUUCGGGUUGUAAAGCACUUUAAGUUGGGAGGCGUUACCAGCAGAAUAAGCACCGGCUAACUUCGUGCCAGCAGCCGCGGUAAUAC